UACGUAGGGAGCAAGCGUUGUCCGGAAUCAUUGGCGUAAAGCGCGCGUAGGCGGCCCUGUAAGUCCGCUGUGAAAGUCAAAGGCUCAACCUUUGAAAGCCGGUGGAUACUGCAGGGCUAGAGUCCGGAAGAGGCGAGUGGAAUUCCUGGUGUAGCGGUGGAAUGCGCAGAUAUCAGGAGGAACACCGGUGGCGAAGGCGGGUCUCUGGGCCGAAGUGACUGACGCUGAGGAGCGAAAGCGUGGGGAGCAAACAGG
rnacentral:rRNA from 1 species